UAGGUAGACAGCAAACUCCCGGAUGCCCAAGCAUCUCAUGAGUUCACAAUUACCGCUAUGCUGACAGCGUUGGCAGGGUCCAACCUGAUCUAUGGCGCAG
rfam:Desulfosporosinus lacus DSM 15449 genome assembly, contig: EJ50DRAFT_scaffold00015.15